rnacentral:rRNA from 1 species
ACGACUGCUAAGACUGGAUAGGAGACAAGAGGGCAUCUUCUUGUUUUUAAAAGACCUAGCAAUAGGUAUGCUUAGGGAGGAGCUUGCGUCACAUUAGUUAGUUGGUGGGGUAAAGGCCUAACAAGACUAUGAUGUGUAGCCGGGCUGAGAGGUUGAACGGCCACAUUGGGACUGAGACACGGCCCAAACUCCUACGGGAGGCAGCAGUAGGGAAUUUUCGGCAAUGGAGGAAACUCUGACCGAGCAACGCCGCGUGAACGAUGAAGUAUUUCGGUACGUAAAGUUCUUUUAUUAGGGAAGAAUAAAUGAUGGAAAAAUCAUUCUGACGGUACCUAAUGAAUAAGUCCCGGCUAACUAUGUGCCAGCAGCCGCGGUAAUACAUAGGGGGCAAGCGUUAUCCGGAAUUAUUGGGCGUAAAGGGUGCGUAGGCGGUUAAAUAAGUUUAUGGUCUAAGUGCAAUGCUCAACAUUGUGAUGCUAUAAAAACUGUUUAGCUAGAGUAAGAUAGAGGCAAGUGGAAUUCCAUGUGUAGUGGUAAAAUGCGUAAAUAUAUGGAGGAACACCAGUAGCGGAGGCGGCUUGCUGGGUCUUUACUGACGCUGAGGCACGAAAGCGUGGGGAGCAAACAGGAUUAGAUACCCUGGUAGUCCACGCCGUAAACGAUGAGUACUAAACGUUGGGUAAAACCAGUGUUGAAGUUAACACAUUAAGUACUCCGCCUGAGUAGUACGUACGUAAGUAUGAAACUUAAAGGAAUUGACGGGACUCCGCACAAGCGGUGGAUCAUGUUGUUUAAUUCGAAGGUACCCGAAAAACCUCACCAGGUCUUGACAUGCUUCUGCAAAGCUGUAGAAACACAGUGGAGGUUAUCAGUUGCACAGGUGGUGCAUGGUUGUCGUCAGCUCGUGUCGUGAGAUGUUGGGUUAAGUCCCGCAACGAGCGCAACCCUUAUUGUUAGUUACCAGCACGUAAUGGUGGGGACUUUAGCAAGACUGCCAGUGAUAAAUUGGAGGAAGGUGGGGACGACGUCAAAUCAUCAUGCCCCUUAUGACCUGGGCUACAAACGUGAUACAAUGGCUGUUACAAAGGGUAGCUGAAGCGCAAGUUUUUGGCGAAUCUCAAAAAAACAGUCUCAGUUCGGAUUGAAGUCUGCAACUCGACUUCAUGAAGUUGGAAUCGCUAGUAAUCGCGAAUCAGCAUGUCGCGGUGAAUACGUUCUCGGGGUUUGUACACACCGCCCGUCA